rnacentral:rRNA from 1 species
GAUGAACGCUGGCGGCGUGCCUAAUACAUGCAAGUCGAGCGAACGGACGCGAAGCUUGCUUCUCUGAUGUUAGCGGCGGACGGGUGUGUAACACGUGGAUAAUCUACCUAUAUGACUGGGAUAACUUCGGGAAACCGGAUCUAAUACCGGAUAAUAUUCUGAACCGCAUGGUUCAAUAGAGAAAUACGGUCUUGCUGUCACUUAUAGAUGGAUCCGCGCUGCAUUAGCUAGUUGGUAAGUUAACGGCCUACCAAGGCAACGCUGCCUAGCCGACCUGAGAGGAUGAUCGCCCACAUGGGAAGUGGAACACGGUCCAGGCUCCUGAGGGAAGCAGCAGUAGGGAAUCUUCCGCAAUGGGCGGGAGCAUGACGGAGUAACCGCGCGUGAGAGAUGGAGGUGUUGCGAGCGGGAAGCUCUGUUAUUAGGGAAAAACAUAUGUGUAAGUAGCUGUGGAGAUCUUGACGGUACCUAAUCAGAAAGCCACGGCUAACUACGUG